AAUGGGGGCAACCCUGAUCCAGCCAUGCCGCGUGUGUGAAGAAGGCCUUCGGGUUGUAAAGCACUUUAAGCAGGGAGGAAGGCUCGCAGAUUAAUAAUCUGCGGGAGUGACGUUACCUGCAGAAUAAGCACCGGCAAACUCCGUGCCAGCAGCCGCGGUAAUACGGAGGGUGCGAGCGUUAAUCGGAAUUACUGGGCGUAAAGCGUACGUAGGCGGUUUGUUAAGUCGGAUGUGAAAUCCCCGGGCUCAACCUGGGUGCUGCAUUCGAUACUGGCAGACUUGAAUACGGUAGAGGGGGGUGGAAUUCCAGGUGUAGCGGUGAAAUGCGUAGAGAUCUGGAGGAACACCAGUGGCGAAGGCGGCCCCCUGGACCGAUAUUGACGCUGAGGUACGAAAGCGUGGGGAGCAAA
rnacentral:rRNA from 1 species